AGAGUUUGAUCCUGGCUCAGAUUGAACGCUGGCGGCAUGCUUUACACAUGCAAGUCGGACGGCAGCACAGGGAAGCUUGCUUCUCGGGUGGCGAGUGGCGAACGGGUGAGUAACAUAUCGGAACGUACCGGGUAGCGGGGGAUAACUGAUCGAAAGAUCAGCUAAUACCGCAUACGUCUUGAGAGGGAAAGCAGGGGACCUUCGGGCCUUGCGCUAUCCGAGCGGCCGAUAUCUGAUUAGCUGGUUGGCGGGGUAAAGGCCCACCAAGGCGACGAUCAGUAGCGGGUCUGAGAGGAUGAUCCGCCACACUGGGACUGAGACACGGUCCAGACUCCUACGGGAGGCAGCAGUGGGGAAUUUUGGACAAUGGGCGCAAGCCUGAUCCAGCCAUGCCGCGUGUCUGAAGAAGGCCUUCGGGUUGUAAAGGACUUUUGUCAGGGAAGAAAAGGCCGUUGCCAAUAUCGGCGGCCGAUGACGGUACCUGAAGAAUAAGCACCGGCUAACUACGUGCCAGCAGCCGCGGUAAUACGUAGGGUGCGAGCGUUAAUCGGAAUUACUGGGCGUAAAGCGGGCGCAGACGGUUACUUAAGCAGGAUGUGAAAUCCCCGGGCUCAACCCGGGAACUGCGUUCUGAACUGGGUGACUCGAGUGUGUCAGAGGGAGGUGGAAUUCCACGUGUAGCAGUGAAAUGCGUAGAGAUGUGGAGGAAUACCGAUGGCGAAGGCAGCCUCCUGGGAUAACACUGACGUUCAUGUCCGAAAGCGUGGGUAGCAAACAGGAUUAGAUACCCUGGUAGUCCACGCCCUAAACGAUGUCAAUUAGCUGUUGGGCAACUUGAUUGCUUGGUAGCGUAGCUAACGCGUGAAAUUGACCGCCUGGGGAGUACGGUCGCAAGAUUAAAACUCAAAGGAAUUGACGGGGACCCGCACAAGCGGUGGAUGAUGUGGAUUAAUUCGAUGCAACGCGAAGAACCUUACCUGGUUUUGACAUGUGCGGAAUCCUCCGGAGACGGAGGAGUGCCUUCGGGAGCCGUAACACAGGUGCUGCAUGGCUGUCGUCAGCUCGUGUCGUGAGAUGUUGGGUUAAGUCCCGCAACGAGCGCAACCCUUGUCAUUAGUUGCCAUCAUUCGGUUGGGCACUCUAAUGAGACUGCCGGUGACAAGCCGGAGGAAGGUGGGGAUGACGUCAAGUCCUCAUGGCCCUUAUGACCAGGGCUUCACACGUCAUACAAUGGUCGGUACAGAGGGUAGCCAAGCCGCGAGGCGGAGCCAAUCUCACAAAACCGAUCGUAGUCCGGAUUGCACUCUGCAACUCGAGUGCAUGAAGUCGGAAUCGCUAGUAAUCGCAGGUCAGCAUACUGCGGUGAAUACGUUCCCGGGUCUUGUACACACCGCCCGUCACACCAUGGGAGUGGGGGAUACCAGAAGUAGGUAGGGUAACCGCAAGGAGCCCGCUUACCACGGUAUGCUUCAUGACUGGGGUGAAGUCGUAACAAGGUAGCCGUAGGGGAACCUGCGGCUG
rnacentral:rRNA from 1 species